rnacentral:lncRNA from 1 species
ACAAUGUUUAGUUAUAGUUAAGAGUUCUUAAUGAAAUCUUCAUCCACGCAGGGACCUAUUUAUACCCAUUGACCGGCAGAUAGCUUCCGGGGUCUUCUUCAGAUGGUGUAUUGUCUUUUCGGCUAAUUGAUGCCUCAAGGAGGAAACACCUUUUUCAUGGGAUGGGUUCCGGUUCCCAUUGGUGCGGCGUAGCUGGAGGAAUGAAUGGUGGUUGUAAAAUCUUGGCAGUGGUGAGAGCUGUUACAUAUGCUCUUUCCUACCCGUUCUUCCCUCAGGUUCUCCCCGUGGUUCUCCACCUGUCCGCCUCUCGGGAUGGUCGAUCCCCUUUUUAUAUCACCUCUGAGCCCGGGACAAAACAUGACGUUUAGCC